rnacentral:rRNA from 1 species
CAGGCUUAACACAUGCAAGUCGAGGGGCAUCAGGAAGAAAGCUUGCUUUCUUUGCUGGCGACCGGCGCACGGGUGAGUAACACGUAUCCAACCUGCCCUUUACUCGGGGAUAGCCUUUCGAAAGAAAGAUUAAUACCCGAUAGCAUAAUGAUUCCGCAUGGUUUCAUUAUUAAAGGAUUCCGGUAAAGGAUGGGGAUGCGUUCCAUUAGGUUGUUGGUGAGGUAACGGCCCACCAAGCCUUCGAUGGAUAGGGGUUCUGAGAGGAAGGUCCCCCACAUUGGAACUGAGACACGGUCCAAACUCCUACGGGAGGCAGCAGUGAGGAAUAUUGGUCAAUGGGCGCUAGCCUGAACCAGCCAAGUAGCGUGAAGGAUGAAGGCUCUAUGGGUCGUAAACUUCUUUUAUAUAAGAAUAAAGUGCAGUAUGUAUACUGUUUUGUAUGUAUUAUAUGAAUAAGGAUCGGCUAACUCCGUGCCAGCAGCCGCGGUAAUACGGAGGAUCCGAGCGUUAUCCGGAUUUAUUGGGUUUAAAGGGAGCGUAGGUGGACUGGUAAGUCAGUUGUGAAAGUUUGCGGCUCAACCGUAAAAUUGCAGUUGAUACUGUCAGUCUUGAGUACAGUAGAGGUGGGCGGAAUUCGUGGUGUAGCGGUGAAAUGCUUAGAUAUCACGAAGAACUCCGAUUGCGAAGGCAGCUCACUGGACUGCAACUGACACUGAUGCUCGAAAGUGUGGGUAUCAAACAGGAUUAGAUACCCUGGUAGUCCACACAGUAAACGAUGAAUACUCGCUGUUUGCGAUAUACAGUAAGCGGCCAAGCGAAAGCAUUAAGUAUUCCACCUGGGGAGUACGCCGGCAACGGUGAAACUCAAAGGAAUUGACGGGGGCCCGCACAAGCGGAGGAACAUGUGGUUUAAUUCGAUGAUACGCGAGGAACCUUACCCGGGCUUAAAUUGCAGUGGAAUGAUGUGGAAACAUGUCAGUGAGCAAUCACCGCUGUGAAGGUGCUGCAUGGUUGUCGUCAGCUCGUGCCGUGAGGUGUCGGCUUAAGUGCCAUAACGAGCGCAACCCUUAUCUUUAGUUACUAACAGGUUAUGCUGAGGACUCUGGAGAGACUGCCGUCGUAAGAUGUGAGGAAGGUGGGGAUGACGUCAAAUCAGCACGGCCCUUACGUCCGGGGCUACACACGUGUUACAAUGGGGGGUACAGAAGGCAGCUAGCGGGUGACCGUAUGCUAAUCCCAAAAGCCUCUCUCAGUUCGGAUCGAAGUCUGCAACCCGACUUCGUGAAGCUGGAUUCGCUAGUAAUCGCGCAUCAGCCACGGCGCGGUGAAUACGUUCCCGGGCCUUGUACACACCGCCCGUCAAGCCAUGGGAGCCGGGGGUACCUGAAGUACGUAACCGCAAGGAUCGUCCUAGGGUAAAACUGGUGACUGGGGCUAAGUCAUAACAA